CCUACGGGAGGCAGCAGUGGGGAAUAUUGCACAAUGGGCGAAAGCCUGAUGCAGCGACGCCGCGUGAGGGAUGACGGCCUUCGGGUUGUAAACCUCUUUCGGUUGGGACGCGGUACCUGCAGAAGAAGCGCCGGCUAACUACGUGCCAGCAGCCGCGGUAAUACGUAGGGCGCAAGCGUUGUCCGGAAUUAUUGGGCGUAAAGAGCUCGUAGGCGGUUUGUCGCGUCGGGUGUGAAAACUCAGGGCUCAACCUUGGGCUUGCAUCGGGUACGGGCAGACUAGAGUGUGGUAGGGGUGACUGGAAUUCCUGGUGUAGCGGUGGAAUGCGCAGAUAUCAGGAGGAACACCGAUGGCGAAGGCAGGUCACUGGGCUCACUGACGCUGAGGAGCGAAAGCAUGGGGAGCGAACAGGAUUAGAUACCCUGGUAGUC
rnacentral:rRNA from 1 species